rnacentral:lncRNA from 1 species
UCAUGGGAGAUAUACAAAGAAAGAGUAAUUUGGAGCAAUAUAUAACAGCGUUUAACCUAGAUAAUUCUAAUAAGUACCGCUCAGAUUGUUAUUGAAGAAAAAUGAAAAUAAUUUAUUCAUGCAAGAGUAAGCAAUCUAAUUUAGAAAGAUUUUAUCGUAUGCUAAAAAAUUAUUUGGGUAUCCACCAUUGUUGAUUUAUAUCUCAAUGCUAAAUGGUGUAAAUAAUGUGGAUCG